ACGAAGGGGGCUAGCGUUGCUCGGAAUUACUGGGCGUAAAGGGAGCGUAGGCGGACAUUUAAGUCAGGUGUGAAAUCCCGGGGCUCAACCUCGGAAGUGCCUUUGAAACUGGGUGUCUUGAGUAUGAGAGAGGUGUGUGGAACUCCGGGUGUAGAGGUGAAAUUCGUAGAUAUGCGGAGGAACACCAGUGGCGAAGGCGACAAACUGGCUCAGUACUGACGCUGAGGCUCGAAAGCGUGGGGAGCAAACAG
rnacentral:rRNA from 1 species